rnacentral:rRNA from 1 species
GACGAACCGUGCGAACGUUAUUCGGAAUCACUGGGCUUAAAGCGCGUGUAGGCGGAUGGGGACGUCGGUCGCUGAAAUCCCCCGGCUCAACUGGGGAACGGGCGCCGAAACGCCCCGUCUGGAGGGACGUAGGGGGACCUGGAACUUCCGGUGGAGCGGUGAAAUGCGUUGAGAUCGGAAGGAACGCCCGUGGCGAAAGCGAGGUCCUGGACGUCGUUCUGACGCUGAGA